ensembl:snRNA U6 U6 spliceosomal RNA
GUGCUCACUUCAGCACCACAUAUACUGAAAUUGGAAUGACACACAGAAGAUUAGCAUGGUCCCUGUGCAAGGAUGACAUGCAAAUUCAUGAAGCAUUCCAUAUUUUU